CGGCACAGAGGGAAGCCAGGUGGCGACACCGCGCGGAACCCGAAAGCCGUUCUCAGUUCGGAUCGGAGUCUGCAACCCGACUCCGUGAAGCUGGAUUCGCUAGUAAUCGCGCAUCAGCCAUGGCGCGGUGAAUACGUUCCCGGGCCUUGUACACACCGCCCGUCAAGCCAUGGGAGCCGGGGGUGCUUGAAGUGCGUCGCCGCAAGGCGCGCCCUAGAGCAAAACCGGUGACUGGGGCUAAGUCGUAACAAGGUAUC
rnacentral:rRNA from 1 species